GGAAACGUUAGUAACCUAUACUAUCAGCUUUCACUGAAUAUUUCUCUGCAUUGCUAGGUAUGACAUAGUUUACUCUACUGUGGUUGAAACAGAUGGUUUGAGAUCGUUUAAUGUCACUGGAACAUCGUCUAAUAAUCUACAUAACCGUACAUUGAUUGUUUCAUUGACUGAUGUAGUCCUACUCAGUUCACUUCCCACGUCUCGACGUAAAGAAUUCCCAGCUUGAUAAGAAUGCAUUACUGUGGGAGGAAAUUAUAAACUAUGGGGGAAGAGAUUGAAAACCUUGAAUAGAAAACGUUGCAACUGAAUUGUUUUGGAGAUAAAGAUAUUUAUAGCCCACAGAUUGAUCAGAAGUUUGUGGAGGUAGGGU